rnacentral:miRNA from 1 species
GCCAUUUCGCCAGUUACGGCAUCAUUAGUGACGAAUUUAAUACUCUAAAUUUGUCACUGAUGAUGCCGUAACUGGCGAAAUGGC